GACGAACGCUGGCGGCGUGCUUAACACAUGCAAGUCGAACGGUGAAGCGAGUGCUUGCACUCGUGGAUCAGUGGCGAACGGGUGAGUAACACGUGAGUAACCUGCCCAUCACUCUGGGAUAAGCACUGGAAACGGUGUCUAAUACUGGAUACGACCAACCCUUGCAUGGGGUGUUGGUGGAAAGAUUUAUCGGUGAUGGAUGGACUCGCGGCCUAUCAGCUUGUUGGCGGGGUAAUGGCCCACCAAGGCGACGACGGGUAGCCGGCCUGAGAGGGUGACCGGCCACACUGGGACUGAGACACGGCCCAGACGCCUACGGGAGGCAGCAGUGGGGAAUAUUGCACAAUGGGCGAAAGCCUGAUGCAGCGACGCCGCGUGAGGGAUGACGGCCUUCGGGUUGUAAACCUCUUUCAGCAGGGAAGAAGCGAAAGUGACGGUACCUGCAGAAGAAGCACCGGCUAACUACGUG
rnacentral:rRNA from 1 species